rnacentral:tRNA from 19 species
GCACCCGUAGCUCAGCUGGAUAGAGCGCUGCCCUCCGAAGGCAGAGGCCAGGGGUUCGAAUCCCUUCGGGUGCACCA